GACAAAGAUUCUAACUGGCCAGCAUAGUUUCACUCAGUGUGGAGAGAAGCCAUUUAAAGACUGAAAUAAUAAAUCAAGGAAAAAAUAAAAAUAAAUCCUGAUAAUAAGCUCCCAUGAGCCCUCCCCAUGGCCCCAGCCUUAUGAUUGGAAUAGCAACCCUAACUAGAGGAAGAAGUGGAGCAACACCUUUUGAUGACCAGAGGGAGGAAGGAAGCCUUGCUGCAAGCUGGUCAGGUAUGACAAAGACGUGCCCUUUGAGGUGCUGGAAUUGACUCUUGAGUUUCAAGAUUCUCAAAUUCAAAAUCCUCUCAAGCUCAAAAAGUCAAGUCCGCAUUUGAUUACUGAAAACCUGCAUUUCCUCUAACUAGUGUCCUGAUGCUUAGUAAUGGAACCUUGACUUGAUGUCCAGCCUUCUUGAGAACGCAAUCCUUAUGCCAAGAACUCGACUACCUACUGAGGGAAUGAGACUGGAUUCUGCUCUUAUGAGCCUCCGUUCCCCUUGAAUCCCCAUCACCAAUCCUGAGCCCCUUAGGGUGCAGGAGUCCUGCUGCCAUGGGGCAAUGUGCCUGUGCAGAGUGGCUGCCUGGCUUCCAGAAUUAUUGUUUCACCUCUUCCCUCGCUGUAUUCUGCCUGCUGGAUCUCCUCUCUCUACAGCCAUCCUUCAUUUCUGAGCGUGUGUUUAAAGUUAAGCCAGUGGAGGUCUGAUGGGUAGAUCUGAGUUCACAUCAGUCCAUCAGAUAAGAAAACAUCUGAGAGCCCCUCCCCCCAGCUUUUCGACAGCACAGUGCGGGUGAAACGUCCACCUUCGGCUCAAUCUUGCGCUGAACUUCUCUGGAGCCUCAUCAGUUUCUUCUACAUUAAAUGUGGACAGUGGGUAUAACUUGCAAGGUUUUUGUACAGAGUAAGAUGUCGAGCUGAAUAGGAGUCUGGGAAGACGCCAGACGCCUAGAAGGUAGAAAAGCGCUAAGCAGUCAGGCUCUCCUCAAACUCACAGGAAUUGCUUCUCACUGGCCUCGUGGGGGCAGCACUGCCCACUCCUCUGGGCACUGGCACAUGGGGGGAGUGUUGACCUGGGGACUGUGAGCUGGAACCUGGACUCCCUGCCCCACCUGUCAGUCAGUCCUCGGUGCAAAUGAGGAUUCUGAGCAGUGCCUUCUAUUCCAGGACGGUCCCUGCCCUUCCUCGCUGUACCCCCUCCCCCUGCGCCUCUGUGUCUGGAUCAUCCCCCUGCCCCCAAAAGCUUUAUUUCAGUGCCCAGUUUGCUCCCGCCUUUUUGGUUAACCUAUAACUCAUUAACUAAUACAGCUCUUUCUAAUUCACAAGUUUCCUAUCCAUCAAGCCAUCUUAACAAGAAAAUCAGCCCUCAUCAAACACAAGAGGAAUCUUUGCAAAUUGAUAGAAAAAAAGAAAAUUGGUAGAAAAGAAGAUCUUUGUCAGGUCGAGAAUUUUCCCUUAAUUGCUGGCCCCCUGGAGUUGCUGCCUCAUGUUCCCUGGUGGCCUCCAGUCCCCAGGGGUCACAAGGCAACCGGGGGCACUGACCUAAGGCGGGGAUGAGUUUGCUGUGGGGCAAGUGCAGUAAAGGAGUAGAAUUGCUCCAGUUUUCACCUUUCAUUAGGCUACCUGAGGAUGGAGAAAACUUUCUCCCUCCUUCUUCCCUCCCUUUCUUCAUUUCUUCCUCUGAAAUUCUCAUUCAAAACACCAUCCUCAAAGUGCUAUCAGGUAGUUUCCUAUCACAAGAAACUAAGACAUACAAUGAGCAGGAAGCUAGUUAGAAAUUUGCACAAGCCAGGGUUUCACAGACAAAAAAAUUUAAGUGCUGUUUUGCUCCUGCAUAGAAAAAUUAACCACAUAGAUGUAAAGACAAGAUUUUCUCUUUCUCUCUCCCCAAUGUUCUGCAACUCUCCUUCCCAUCCAGACC
rnacentral:lncRNA from 1 species